CUUGAACAAGGCAGUUUCAGAGUGACGCAGAUUUAAAAUAUUACUCUUUCUGAAUCGCAAAAUAAACUUUUAAGAUAUUUUCAGGUGAGAAUGGUGCUGUUUAAACUUCAAAUAUCUACUCGAUUUAUCAAGACAUCACAUAUUUGCUCCAACGUUUUCCGAGAUGCCUGUUCUACUUCAGAGAUCACCUGCUGAUUAUUUCCCUGAAGCCUCCAUCGCUGCUGUCAGACGCAGAAGGCCAAAAGUGGAGGUGACUGGGGUCUAGCUGCACUAUAGUGUCAGAGUGUGUGAAGAUCAAAAAUCCAACAACAGCAGCAACAAGAAGAACAGAAGAAACUAUCAGACCAGCAAUCAGUCCAACAGAUCCAUCCUCCUUCUUCUCUUUGUCUUCAUCCUUCUCUUGUCCUCCUGUCUGACCUGCAGAUCCACCCGGUUCUUAAAAGAUGGAUGCUGGUUGUGUGAAUUAAAGUGACUGUCCCGAUACAAAAGCACAUAUCGAUCCCCCAGGUCAAGUCUGCUCCACUCUACAGUCAUCUGAGGGUAUCCGUUGUUUGGAGCUCGGCAUAGAAGAGUGAUGUUCUUCUGUCCAGACUCAGCUGUGAUGUUUUUUUGACCUGAAAGAGGAAACAACACAGAGCAGAGAGGUUAAAGGUCAAAGUACAAUUAUGAUCAGAAUGAUUGACUUUAAAUAUUUUGUUUAUUUCCUUUGACAUUUGAGUUUUUAGUCAUGUUGGAUUUAAUGAACCUCUGAACAUCCAGCAGGUCACCAGUGACCCACUGAGGGGGAAUUUUAGCCUCAUGCUAAACAUGCAAAGUGUCAGAAACUACAAGAUGUUAUUUAUUCAAGAGUGUGUGUGUUCUUGUUAUUUCAGACACACUCAGCAUUUCCAGUUCAUAGUUUGUGAAAACUAAAACUUUUUAUCGAACUUUUCUUACAGAACAAAUGUAAAUAAUGUGCAGCUACCAUGGAGAUUUAACAUGUUGAUGUUUGGUAGGUUUGACUGUGAAGUGCAGAAGAAUUUAAAUAUGAAGCCAGAGUGAUGAGUUAGUGAGCUGUGUCGGGCAAACAGUCAGAGUCGUCUCUCUCACAAACCUGGUUAAAUCACCAUGGUAACGUAUGCAGAACACAUGUAAACAUGAAGCUGAACAUUAUUUAUAUUUGUUCUGUAACAAAAGUUCAAUAAAAGUUUCAGAGUAUCAGGAUCAGACAGAAAUCUCUGAGUGUGCAGCUCCAUAAAUCUGUAGCUUCAUAACAAUCAUAACACUGUGACUGUAAAACACUCUCAGCUGUAUUUAAUGAAAAGAUGAUGAAACCUGCUGAGUGUAAAAUAAGCAGCAUCAGUUACAGAGAGGGUUGUUACACACACUUUGUUUUUCUUCCUGCUGCAUUCAACACACACAAAGUUCAUAGAAACAUGAAAGAGCUCAGUUUGACUGAGACAACAUUUCUACAUCCAAACUGAGUCACAGCUCAUUCAUUUGUAACUGAUCAAUGAUCCUGAACACAAUCAGGCAGAUUAUUGAUCGUCUAUAAUCCACAGACCUUCAUCUACACUCAGAUCAUCACACAGCAUUUGUGUUGUCACUUCAUUCAGUGUUUGUAACAGCUGAUCUCAGGUCUGUGUUGUUCAUCUCUCACAGAACAAGUUCUUACAAACAGCUGAAGCUCCAACACAAAAACACUCACUGACUCUGA